AGGAGUCAGUGAGAAGGCAACAGGAGACAGUCAUUCCUAAAACAGUCAAGGAGAACUUCUGAAAGAAAAACAAUGUGCUUUUCUACCCUGGACACAAAGCUGGACUCAACUGAACUGAAACUUCAAGCCCUUGAGGAGCUGCUGUGCUGCUGGCGAGGAGGAAUGUGUCAAGACUGAACACUGGUCAGGCCAUAUUGCUGGAGCAAAGAAGAUGGCGAGCUAAAGGAGCAACUUCAAAAGACUCAAGAUUCCCUCAAAAGGCAGGCUUCAAGCCUGGCUAUCUGGUUGAAGGGUGUGGUAGGAUUUCCCCUACCUAAAUAAACAUUUGAAUUCGUUGGACAUCUGCACACACAUAACAAGUAACUGCAGUACGUGUAAUGUGUUUUGGUGCAUUGAUUUAUACGACUAGAAUUGGGAAUAUUUAGCCAAUGUUGUAUGGAGGGUAAAAAGUGCCCUUAAGAAUAUGUUAAUUGAAGGCCUAUUUUCUUUUGUUUAAUUUGUGGUAUUUUCCUUGAUUAAGUUAAAGUGUUUUUUGUUAUUUGUUACAAAUUGAAUUUUGAAAUACACAACCGGUUAUCAACA